CGCACAUUGCGCCCCUUGGUAUUCCAUGGGGCAUGCCUGUUCGAGCGUCAUUUGUACCUUCAAGCAAUGCUUGGUGUUGGGUGUUUGUCCGCCAGCGGACUCGCCUGAAAGCUAUUGGCAGCCGCCGCGUAGGCAGCAGAGCGCAGCACAAACUCGCGUCUCUGCCCUCCGUGGCGACAUCCAGAAGCCCUUUUCAAAUUUGACCUCGGAUCAGGUAGGGAUACCCGCUGAACUUAA
rnacentral:misc_RNA from 1 species